UAUAGAGUGAAGUUUACUCAAUUAUUUUUUACACUGAGUUGGACGAGAGUCGAUAUUUCUCACUAACUCGAUAAUCGUUGGACGCUAAUCUUUAUUGUCAUCAAAUUUUCCCCGCUCUGCUUCAACAUCGUGAUUCCUCGCCCAAUCCCAAUUCCAACGGUUCACGUAUUUCACACUCUCCUCUAAAUUUCCAGGGUUUCAAUUUUCAUCCCGCCAAUUUUAGAUUUUCAUUCCUUUUCUGUUUUAGCUCGAAUUGCAUUCAUAGGUAGGGUUUUACUUGAUUCAUGCACUUUUUUGUUCUUCAAUCGCAAAAUUCAGUACAAUUCAUUGUUUUGUGGAAUUUAGGGUUCUAGAAACGGAAUUAUUCCUUAAUCGCAAUUGAGAUUAGGGUUUUCCAUUGUAAUUUAGCAUUUCAGACAUAUUUAUGACGACAGGUGGACAUGGAGAUAACCGUGAUCAUGAAUUCAGGAACAGUGAUUCUGAUUUCAGUAUUUCAAGGCGUGGUUUUAAUAAUAAUGUGUAUCAUGAUAUUAGAAAUGGUAAGGGUCGAAGUAGGGAUACAAGGGAUAGGAUUAUUCAGAGACAGAAAGAUAUUAGGGAGAGUCAGAAAGAAGUUUUGAAUGGAAGUUACCGGUCAUCUUCGAGUAGGAGUGACUCUGGUAGCAGUGGUGGUCGUAGUGGCGUGCCUGGUUCAAGAAGAUGUGAGUUUUCUGUUAAGAUUAUGGAUAGAGAGCCGGGCGAGCUUUCUAGUGAGAGUGGGUCGGAUGAUGGUGUUGAAUUAGAGUCAUUGGUGAAACGCCAUGAGGUUGUGAUGGGGAAAGAGUUUGAUUAUGGUGUUGAAUCGGAAUCAGUGUUGAAACGCCAUGGGGUUGCCACGGGCAAAGAAAACGAGAGUCAGGCACCAUUAGAGAGGAAAAGAAAAUUUUCGCCUAUAGUAUGGGAUCAAGAGGAGAGCAAAGUGAAUAAUUUAUCCAAUCUGAAGGUUGUCACAACAGUGGCCGCUCUUCCUCCACCACCUCCAUUACCAAUAGCAUUUCGUGAGUCGCCUAAUGUUAAUUACAAUGGAGUUGAAGUUCAUUAUCUUGAGAAUCCCGAGUUGCCGACAGCAAUGGAUCCUUCUAUGGUGUCUGAGUCAGUUCUAGAUGCCGAGUCUCCUAUAGGUUUGCAUUCAAUGUUGUCAGAGCAGGGGUUGGUUAAUGGGCAGGUAGCUGAGCAACCAAAAGUUGAAGAUUAUGUGCCUACUCGUAAUAUAUCAUCUUCAAGAUGGGCAUCCGGAGACGACUCUCCUAAUGAUGAAGGUGAAAUCAUUGAUGAGAAGGAAUUCCUUAAAAGGAGGAGGUUAUCUCCUGAAUCAGGUACGAGAGUAAGAAACAAGAUGUUGAGACCCGAUGAUAAAAUCAAAGGUUUUGAUAGGGCUAGAGCCAAAUCAUCUGAAUCGGAAGAAAGAGAUAGCACUGGGAGAUACUCCGGUGAAGAUGAUCAUUCUGGUAUGGAGGGAGAGAGGAAUAACAACAUGGAGAUUGAUGGUGGAAUUUGCAAAAGUGACACAAGUGGCAGUCACUCAAAUACUGAUUCUGAAAGUGAAGAUGAUUGCAGGGAAAGUAUGGAACCUCCGACUCCACCACACAGAGUUGUUAACAUGCUUCAUGGUUGUAGAAGUGUUGAUGAGUUUGAGAGACUGAACAAGAUUAAUGAAGGAACAUAUGGUGUUGUAUACAGGGCCAAAGACAAGAAGACUGGCGAAAUAGUGGCACUGAAAAAGGUGAAGAUGGAGAAGGAAAAAGAAGGGUUUCCACUGACUUCUCUGAGGGAAAUCAACAUACUUCUUUCCUUUCACCAUCCAUUCAUAGUUGACGUUAAGGAAGUAGUGGUAGGUAGUAGCCUUGAUAGUAUUUUUAUGGUUAUGGAAUACAUGGAACACGAUCUUAAAGGACUAAUGGAGGCAAUAAAACAGCCAUUUAGCCAGAGUGAAGUAAAAUGCUUAAUGCUCCAGCUGUUAGAAGGUGUGAAGUAUCUGCAUGACAACUGGGUGAUUCAUAGGGAUUUGAAGACUUCAAACCUGCUUCUGAAUAAUAGGGGUGAGUUAAAAAUCUGCGAUUUCGGAUUAGCUCGUCAGUAUGGGAGUCCAUUGAAACCGUAUACAUCAUUGGUAGUUACUCUUUGGUACAGGGCUCCUGAACUUCUUUUGGGGACAAAGGAGUAUUCAACAGCCAUUGACAUGUGGUCCCUGGGUUGUAUAAUGGCUGAACUUCUGUCCAAGGAACCGUUAUUUAAUGGGAGGAAUGAAUUUGAUCAACUUAACAAGAUUUUCAGAAUUCUCGGCACCCCAAAUGAAACAAUUUGGCCCGGCUUCUCAAAAUUACCUCUAGUCAAGGUCAAUUAUGUCAAGCAGCAGUAUAAUCUCCUGCGUAAAAAGUUUCCUGCAACAUCUUUCACCGGAUCCCCCGUUCUUUCUGAUUCUGGAUUUGAUUUGUUGAGCAAGCUUCUCACUUAUGACCCUGAAAAGAGGAUCACUGCUGAAGAUGCUCUCAACCAUGCGUGGUUUCGUGAAGUUCCCCUUCCUAAAUCUAAAGAAUUCAUGCCUACAUUUCCUGCUCAACAUGAUAAAGAAAGGAGAAUGCAAAGAAUAAUGAAGAGUCCACAUCCGUUAGAGAGGAAGCACCACAAGGAGUUGCAGCAGAGGGAAUCAGGAACUGAUUUAUUUCAGGUUAACCUUCAUUGUUGAUCGCCGUAUAGAAAUGUCCACGGGACACAGCUGGCAGCAUAAGAGCAAGUUCGUGUGAAGUGGAAGAGUGCAUUCUGUCCAUUUUGUUGAAGAAAAUGACACUGAUUUUUCACAUCAAAGUAUCAAAGCUAGCAGGUUGAGGAUGUUACCUGUAUACCCUGGGAAUAUAUGGAACUUUGUUCCAUCAGGCUCUCUAGAGGUACCAUCCAAACCUUAGUUUGUCAUAAUACAUCUCUGCAGUUCUAACAACUACCCGAUAUUCUAAGAUCUGAACCAUUUAUUUAUCUCCGUUGUGCUUCUUCUAGUGAUUCAUUGUAUAGUUUAUUCUUAUUUCUUGGAAUGAUGUUUUAGUGAUGUUUGGUGGAUUACAACAUUUCAGUUUUAUUGUUUCUUUAUAACUUUAAAUGGCUUGUUAAAUUGAAAGUCAAUUAAAUGAUUCAGUUGUAACUCAUGGAAGAACUCUCCUCUUCACUAAAAUGGAUUGCCCAGGAUAAUGGUUGUCAAGUUUUGACUGGGCAAGUAGAAAAAUUUGACCUCGGUCUGGAUUUAAUUAACCAUUGAAACUUUUUUUUUUUUUUCCCCUUCUUCUGGCUCCAACUACUGUAACCCAGUUUUUGGGGUUAGGCACCGACAAACGUGCAUCAUCACGUUGUAACUACAACUUAGGUGAGUAGUUUAGCCAGAUAUUGAAAAUUUCAUCAUGGCAAAUAAAGUUCAAAAGUGCUUAUUACUUAUUAGUCUAAAAUGUUGUAAACAUCGUUUUUGGUUAGUUUUGGAAUAUGGAGUCUUGAACUGGAUCUUAUUUUAUUAAAUCAUAAAAAAUUAAUGGUAGUCAAAUUAAGUGGAAUUAUUUGGAUGACAAUAGUGAGAUUAAUGGUAGGCAAAUUAAGUGGAAUUAUUUGGAUGACAGUAGUGAGAAGCUGUUAAGAGUUUGUCCUUGAAGGAUCAGACCUUUUGAAAAUUAUUAAAUGGUUACUGUAUUAUUUUUCUUAUUUUUACCACUUCAUGUUGCUGAUUGGAGGGGCAGGCAUCUACAGCAGCUCCAGUGCAUUAUUUUUCUGAUGGUAGGCUUUUAGACAUUUUAUUUGGGGCACAAUAGAUCUUAUGUUUGGCAUUUUUUUCCGGUACAAUAUGUUUGUGAUUGGAUCAUAUGGUAGAAUGAUAUUUGUUUCUAUUUAUCUGUUUUCCAUCUUGCUAUGAUGGACAUGGUUCUCGUCAACUUAAAAUUGGGAUCAAGUUGAUGCUUGCUAGCUUUAUGAUUGAAGAAUUUUGACAACUUCCGUGGGAUUGCUAAUAACUGUAUGUUUGUAUGGCCGGGAGAUGGGCUUGGCUUGCAAUGAGGUUUAAAGCAUCGAGCAAUUCAUAAAAUUUAUACA